ACUCAAAUGAAUUGACGGGGGCCCGCACAAGCGGUGGAGCAUGUGGUUUAAUUCGAUGCAACGCGAAGAACCUUACCUACCCUUGACAUCCGAGGAAUCCUGCAGAGAUGCGGGAGUGCCGAAAGGAACCUCGAGACAGGUGCUGCAUGGCUGUCGUCAGCUCGUGUUGUGAGAUGUUGGGUUAAGUCCCGUAACGAGCGCAACCCUUAUCCUUAGUUGCCAACAUGUAAUGGUGGGGACUCUAAGGAGACUGCCGGUGGUGAACCGGAGGAAGGUGGGGACGACGUCAAGUCAUCAUGGCCUUUAUGGGUAGGGCUACACACGUGCUACAAUGGGGUGAACAGAGGGUUGCCAACCUGCAAAGGGGAGCCAAUCCCGUAAAACACCUCGUAGUCCAGAUCGAAGUCUGCAACUCGACUUCGUGAAGUUGGAAUCGCUAGUAAUCGCGAAUCAGCACGUCGCGGUGAAUACGUUCCCGGGCCUUGUACACACCGCCCGU
rnacentral:rRNA from 1 species